CAAUCCAUGAGUAAAGUGGCGCACGGGUGAGUAACACGUGACUAACCUACCCUUGAGUGGGGGAUAACCUAGGGAAACCUGGGCUAAUACCGCAUAAUACCUACGGGUCAAAGGAGCAAUUCGCUUUAGGAGGGGGUCGCGGCAGAUUAGUUAGUUGGCGGGGUAAUGGCCCACCAAGACGAUGAUCUGUAUCCGGCCUGAGAGGGCGCACGGACACACUGGAACUGAAACACGGUCCAG
rnacentral:rRNA from 1 species